rnacentral:misc_RNA from 1 species
UAAAUUCUAUAAUUAAUUUUAAUUUCAGAAUUCAGUGAAUCAUCGAAUCUUUUAACUCACCUUGCGCUCCUUGGUAUUCCGAGGAGCAUGCCUGUUUGAGUGUCAUGGAAUUCUCAACUCUAUUUUCUUUUGUGAAUAGAGCUUGGAUUUGGAGGUUUAUUGCUGGUACUUGUGAUCGGCUCCUCUUGAAUGCAUUAGCUCGAACCUUUGCGGAUCAGCUAUCGGUGUGAUAAUUGUCUACGCCGUUGCAGUGAAGCAUAUCAAUGGGCUCGGCUUCCAAUCGUCCUUUACUGGACAAUGACUUUGACCUUUGACCUCAAAUCAGGUAGGAUUACCCGCUGAACUUAAGC